AUUGAACGCUGGCGGCAGGCCUAACACAUGCAAGUCGAGCGGUAGCACAGAGAGCUUGCUCUCGGGUGACGAGCGGCGGACGGGUGAGUAAUGUCUGGGAAACUGCCUUGAGUGGAGGGGGAUAACUACUGGAAACGGUAGCUAAUACCGCAUAACGUCGCAAGGACCAAAGAGGGGGGACCUUCGGGCCUCUUGCCAUC
rnacentral:rRNA from 1 species